rnacentral:rRNA from 1 species
UACGUAGGGUGCGAGCGUUAAUCGGAAUUACUGGGCGUAAAGCGUGCGCAGGCGGUGAUGUAAGACAGAUGUGAAAUCCCGGGCUCAACCUGGGACCUGCAUUUGUGACUGCAUCGCUAGAGUACGGUAGAGGGGGGUGGAAUUCCGCGUGUAGCAGUGAAAUGCGUAGAGAUGCGGAGGAACACCGAUGGCGAAGGCAGCCCCCUGGGCCAACACUGACGCUCAGGCACGAAAGCGUGGGGAGCAAACAGG